rnacentral:rRNA from 1 species
GACGAACGCUGGCGGCGUGCUUAACACAUGCAAGUCGAACGAAGAGCGAUGGACGCUUGCUUCUAUCAAUCUUAGUGGCGAACGGGUGAGUAACGCGUAAUCAACCUGCCCUUCAGAGGGGGACAACAGUUGGAAACGACUGCUAAUACCGCAUACGAUCUAAUCUCGGCAUCGAGGAUAGAUGAAAGGUGGCCUCUACAUGUAAGCUAUCACUGAAGGAGGGGAUUGCGUCUGAUUAGCUAGUUGGAGGGGUAACGGCCCACCAAGGCGAUGAUCAGUAGCCGGUCUGAGAGGAUGAACGGCCACAUUGGGACCGAGACACGGCCCAGACUCCUACGGGAGGCAGCAGUGGGGAAUCUUCCGCAAUGGACGAAAGUCUGACGGAGCAACGCCGCGUGAGUGAUGACGGCCUUCGGGUUGUAAAGCUCUGUUAAUCGGGACGAAAGGCCUUCUUGCGAAUAGGGAGAAGGAUUGACGGUACCGGAAUAGAAAGCCACGGCUAACUACGUG